rnacentral:rRNA from 1 species
GACGAACGCUGGCGGCGUGCUUAACACAUGCAAGUCGAACGGAAAGGCUCUGCUUUUGUGGGGUGCUCGAGUGGCGAACGGGUGAGUAACACGUGAGUAACCUGCCCUUGACUUUGGGAUAACUUCAGGCAACUGGGGCUAAUACCGGAUAGGAGCUCCUGCUGCAUGGUGGGGGUUGGAAAGUUUCGGCGGUUGGGGAUGGACUCGCGGCUUAUCAGCUUGUUGGUGGGGUAGUGGCUUACCAAGGCUUUGACGGGUAGCCGGCCUGAGAGGGUGACCGGCCACAUUGGGACUGAGAUACGGCCCAGACUCCUACGGGAGGCAGCAGUGGGGAAUAUUGCACAAUGGGCGGAAGCCUGAUGCAGCAACGCCGCGUGCGGGAUGACGGCCUUCGGGUUGUAAACCGCUUUCGCCUGUGACGAAGCGUGAGUGACGGUAAUGGGUAAAGAAGCACCGGCUAACUACGUG